UUUGAUCCUGGCUCAGAACGAACGCUGGCGGCGUGGAUAAGACAUNCAAGUCGAACGGAGUAUUUUUGAAGCUUGCUUUGAAGAUGCUUAGUGGCGAACGGGUGAGUAACACGUGAGUUACCUGCCCCGAAGCGGGGGAUAGCCCGAAGAAAUUCGGAUUAAUACCCCAUGUGAUCGAAAGAUUAAAGGCGGCGCAAGCUGUCGCUUCGGGAUGGGCUCGCGGCCUAUCAGCUUGUUGGUGAGGUAAUGGCUCACCAAGGCGAUGACGGGUAGCUGAUCUGAGAGGAUGAUCAGUCACACUGGAACUGAGACACGGUCCAGACACCUACGGGUGGCAGCAGUCGAGAAUCAUUCGCAAUGGGCGAAAGCCUGACGGUGCGACGCCGCGUGGAGGAUGAAGGCCCUAGGGUCGUAAACUCCUGUCAUCAGGGAGUAAUGGCUCAUAUAGUAACUGAUAUGGGUUUUGAUAGUACCUGAAGAGGAAGGGACGGCAAACUUCGUGCCAGCAGCCGCGGUAAUACGAAGGUCCCAAGCGUUGUUCGGAUUUACUGGGCGUAAAGAGUCUGUAGGCGGUGGGGUAAGUCAGAUGUGAAAUCCCGGGGCUCAACCCCGGAACUGCAUCCGAUACUGCCUUACUUGAGGGUUGGAGGGGAGUCUGGAAUUCUCGGUGUAGCAGUGAAAUGCGUAGAUAUCGAGAGGAACACUAGUGGCGAAGGCGAGACUCUGGACAACACCUGACGCUGAGAGACGAAGGCCAGGGGAGCGAAAAGGAUUAGAUACCCUUGUAGUCCUGGCAGUAAANCGGUGCACGCUUGGUGUGGGAGGGUUCGACCCCUUCCGUGCCGGAGCUAACCGCGUAAGCUGCCGCCUGGA
rnacentral:rRNA from 1 species